GAGAAAGAGAGGGAAAGGGAGAAGAAGAAAGAGAGAAGGGAGGGGAAAAUAUUCCACAUCCUUCUUUUGCUCGGCCGAGAUUUUUCCACAUUGUGAAAAAGGUUCGGAUGUGUUUUUCUUCGAGCCAAUUUCUUUCGGUUA
rnacentral:ribozyme from 13 species